UCAUUUUCAUUUCUCUUUUUUUUUUCUCGUCUGCUCCUGCCUCUUUUCUCUUCCUCUCAACCGAUGAGUCGAUGAAAUCAUCACAAAAAUCUCACAUAAAUCUCUUUAUUCAUCGAUCUGUGGUUUGAAGAACCGAAGAACAUUGAAGAAUUUCUGCAAACUUAGAAAGGGAUAAGUUUCAAUAUAUGAACUGAUUUUAGGGUUUUAUGUUAAUUUUUAUUUUAGGGUUUGGAAAUAUGAACUGAUUUUAGAUUUUUUAUAUGGUUUUGGGGUUUGUGUUGCUCAUCAAAAUUAAAACUUUGAAGAACUGGUCAGAGUUGGAACUAUUUGGGUCAGUCUUAACUUUCAUGGCAAAAAUUAAAAGUGGAUUUUUUAGAGGAGCUGCUGUUGGAUCAAUUUCUGGAUCUGAUAAUUGGUUAUGAAAUGGAAUACUGAAGUGAAUUUUUUCUUUUUAACAGGGCUUAUAUGUUUGUGUAGUACUGGAUAUUGAUUAUGAUGAAGAUUAACUUGCAAAAUCUUAGUAUGAGAACUAUAUGAGUAACAAAGUUUAAUGCAGCUUAACAUUUUCUAUGUGGUUUGUUAAAGAAAGUUUGUCAUUUUGUCAGUGGUUGUGUGCUUUGCAGUUGAUAUAUAUUGAUAUAGCUUACCCUAUCUUGUGUUUCUGUUCUUUUUGUUGGUGACAGAGGGAGAAAUUCUGUGAAAGAAAAAGUUUUCAAUUAAAUUAAAAGGUCUUGUAGUCGAUGACAGUAGAUUACUACCUUCGGGACAAGCGGGGAGGUGUGUUAAAUGCUUACAGAAAGUCAUAAAGGCUAAACAUUUGGAUUCUUAAUGUUCUUUCCUUCUGUCAUCUCCAAGGAGCGGUUCACCGUGACCUCAAACCAUAGAAUUUCCUGUUUAGUACAGAAGAUGGCACUUUGCCCUUAAAAGCAAUUGAUUUUGGAUUGUACGACUAUGUAAAGACAGGCUCUUGCAAAGACAUUAUCGGUACCUUAGCUUGCUUAUUCCCUGAAGCAAUUUAAAUUGGUGGCAUUAUCUCUGAAAGUGAACUACAGUGGGGUUCGCAUCAACUUGUAUACCUGCUAGAUUACCUGGUGGUCAUGGACCAAUUGGAUUGAUUUCCUGACAGAAUCUACAUGAAAUACAAAGAUAGUGCCAACUUAUGAAGCUUCAUCUUACCUAGUUGCAGUUAACUAUUGCAGUUGCAGUUGAAGUUAUGGUACUUGAUUAUGUACAUCGAUGUCUUCAAUGGCAAACACGGCCGAGAUGUUUCUUUGGUUAUAAGAUGGCGCUGUAACUGGUUGCAGUUGAAGCUAUGGUACUUGAUUAUGUACAUUGACACCAUCAUGUUGUAAGCCUGCAAAGGAUAUAAAGCUUAGUUGCGGUUAUUUGAAUGAUGCUCUAUUUGAUCAGAAAGGAUGGAGAACAAACCAUCUUGAAGUUUUGUAAGUUACAUGCAUGUAUUCAAGUUUUGUAAGUUUUGUAGGAAGUUGAUAAGUUUCUAUGUGUUCCCUUAGAAAUUUGGAACUUAGUAGGUUUCCAUGUAUUCCCUUAGAAAUUUGAUACUUAACAAAAAAAAAUCUGGUACUUAGCUAAAUUUCAGUUCUUUUGUUAUAUGAAUCUGAUAUGAAUUGAAUGAAUGUGAUGUGAAUAGAUUGAAGAAAUUAUUGUUGA